GUACUAGUGGCUCAGGCAGAGGGCUGCUGCUUAGAACAUGAGCAGGCACGCAAAGAGAGAGAAAAACAGGACAAAAUACUACUUUAAUUUUUUAUAUAUAUAAAAGCAUCCCUUCAGUCUCCUGCCAAACUAGCCGGAGUAUUCUUCUGCUGUUUAUCCGAGGAGAGCAUUUUCAGAAAACACGACUGGAAGAAGACACUAAAUCCACCUUAGUAAAACAAGCCACAUUUCUGAGGAAGAAACCGAGAGAGGCAGAAAAAGAACCUGCGCUACUUUUUCAACAAGCGAAGAAGGCGGGAAACGGAACUGCCCAGAAUUUGACUUGGCCCCCCAUCACCACCACGCAAGAGAAGGCUAUUUCUUUAAAGGACCGCCAGAAGGAAGCGCGUAGGAAAGGGUCUACCCCGAGACGCAACUUCUCCGGGGGCUGCGGGAGGCGAGGCUUUCAGGGAGAGAAAAUUCGCAGAAAACUUCAGACAAGCGACCUGCCUCCUCUGGAACGGGAUAGGGACGUGUCUGCGUUUGUCGCGAGCUGCGUGGGUGCUUAUUGAGGCUCGAGGCUGCGCCGCGCCGGAGUUUCUGUCGGGACCCUGCGAAGGAGUGAGCGGAGAAGACUCCAGCGAGGCUCCUCUGUUCCUGGCGCACAGAGGUGAAUGAGAGCGAGGCCUCGCUGCGACUGUGGGGAGGCCACUCUCAGGCGUCUUGGGGAAGGACGGGACUGAAGGAAAGAAGGUGGGAGCGAGACUUUCGCCGCACGAGAGAGAGUGAGCGAGCCACACGCUUUGUCUUUUCCUAUCCACUUAUCCCGGGACGAGAAAAGGAGGAAGGAAAGGCGCCACCUCGCCCGGAGAAGGUGACAGAAGAAAGCGAGGAGGAAAAGGUUUUCCAAACUCGCAACCGCUACCGGGGGCGGCGACGACGACAGGGGGUGGGGAAGAGAAGCCCGACAAAAACUCCGGGCAAGCAACCUGCUUCUGGUGGAAGAGGAAAGACAGGGCGGUGCUGCGUUUGUCACAGAAACGCCUGUCUGCCGGCGGAAAGAGGGAGCCGAGCUGCGCGUGGCUUACUGAGACGCGAGGCUGCGGCUCGCUGGAGUUUUUGUCGGGACCCUGUGGAGGAGCGCGCGGGGCAGAGCGCCGGAGAGGCUCUUUCUGGGCUUCGUGGCGCCCGCUGAGUGCCCACUUUGGAAGAAAGAAAAAGAAGAGACUGAUUAUUGGCAUCCAGCACUGAAACCAAGGCAGCUGAUGCUGAGAGGAGCCAAAGGGUGCAGUUCUUCUUAGUUUAAAAACAGCACGGCAUUCUUUGCCAAAGAUUGCUGUAAACACUGAAUAAAGAUUUCAUUGUGGGUUGGUGUGACUAGAAUAAUUAGUCAGUUAAUUGUUUAUUCUGAUCCAAAUGUGCAGUACUCAGAAAUACAUAGUUAAAAAAAUAGCAACAAGUGAAAGAGAGAAAAGUUUAGUAACUUGCAAUAUUUAUCACAUUGUUAUAUUUACCAUCUGUUAUAGUGUUACAAUACUCAGAAAACUGAACUUGGUUGUUUUUUUCAUUUCAGAGACAAAUCUUGGUAUGCAAUUGAAUUUUUUAAACAUGUCUUGUAUCUACUUCUCCAUUUCAGUUUGAUGUGACAGUUGUGUUUCUCUUCCUCUCUCUUUUUAAUGAAAAAAAUACAAAGGUGAUAUAGAAUGAGCAUCUUAAAUGGAUUGACUAAUACCAAUUAAUAUAUUCUUUUUCUGUGCGCACUUUAUUGCCAACUCAGCAGGGAUGAAAGCUAAUUGUGCCAGCUUUUGUGCUGCUCUGACACUCUUCAAGCGGUAUUGCUAGAGUCGAGCUGUAAACUAUUGAGUUUUUUUUUAACACUGUAAUUAUUGCGUCUGAGGCAAGUUACUUUUCAAAAAAGGCUGCUCUAUCAAAUGCUCAACUGGCAUUAUAAAGAGUUUUUUAUAGCAUUCACUAUCCUAUGUGACUUUAAUGAAGUGUGACAGGUUUGCUAGUGCCUCAGGGUGACUUUAAUCAUGGAAAUUAUGGUUAUUUACAUAGCAUCAUCAGUUACAUAAUGUUUUAUAGCAUAAGUUUCUUUUUAAAAAAAACUAAACUAGUCCCUGCCCUAAGGAAAUUUAAAAUUAGAUAGUGGAGGGGAAGCAGAGGGAGAUGAGAAGUAAGAGUCAUGAGAUAUGGAUGUAAAAAAAUGCAGUUACCCAUAACAGUGGUACAAUCCUAUAUGCAUGUUUAUUUAGAAAUAAACCCCACUGUGUCCAUUGAUGUGGACAGAGCAACCCUAACUCUGGUCAGCGAGCAGUGGGACAGAAUGGUGUUGUGGAGACACCACUGCAUCCAAAGCCCUGCCAUUUCCACCAGCCAGGCUAGAGACAGAUAUAUCCACAUUUAUUUUUAUUCUAUUUUAUUGAUUGAUUUAUUGUUGCACCAGCUUUUGAUGCUUCAAAAAGACUCAGACUGGCCCCUGUUUUGGAGCUGGAUCAGCUUAGUACCCUGUGGAUCUUUUCCCAGCCCAGAUCCACCCCCUCCACUGAAACACCCUGUUUUGGGCUCCCAUCAGGUACUGGUGGUGAGAAAACCACUGGUGGGUGUGGGGACAUGGCAGCAGAGCCCCCUAUUGGUGUAAUCCCCUCCAGCAGUGCAUCUUGUGGGUUAGAAUUGCACCCUUAUCACCACCAUAAGUAUGCUUAGGAUUACAACUAGAGGCCAUUGGAGAUGGGGGACUUUCACAGGGGGAGUAAAUAAGCAAGGACGUUUUGUAAAAGUUGGGUUUUAAGAAAGGAUUUGAAGGAAUAGAACUUGCACUUCAGAUAGUAAACUGUGACUUCCUGACAUUUCAAUGUAAGUGAAAUGUGAUAGUAGCCACAUCUACUUUAUAAGCAACAACUGUCAUGUGUCUGUGCACCUGAACAGGGCACUACAAGAACCACUCAACCAAUGUGCAGAAAGAAAGUGUCAAUCAAAAGACUGCUGGCAAGUCUUAUAUUUCACAGACUUAAU